rnacentral:rRNA from 1 species
AUACGUAGGGUGCAAGCGUUAAUCGGAAUUACUGGGCGUAAAGCGUGCGCAGGCGGUUUUUUAAGACAGAGGUGAAAUCCCCGGGCUCAACCUGGGAACUGCCUUUGUGACUGCGAAGCUAGAGUACGGCAGAGGGGGAUGGAAUUCCGCGUGUAGCGGUGAAAUGCGUAGAUAUGCGGAGGAACACCGAUGGCGAAGGCAAUCCCCUGGGCCUGUACUGACGCUCAUGCACGAAAGCGUGGGGAGCAAACAGGAUUAGAUACCCUGGUAGUCCACGCCCUAAACGAUGUCAACUGGUUGUUGGGUCUUCAUUGACUCAGUAACGAAGCUAACGCGUGAAGUUGACCGCCUGGGGAGUACGGCCGCAAGGUUGAAACUCAAAUGAAUUGGCGGGG